AGCGGAGUGGGGCAGUCAGGAGUGCCCACUGGGCUCAUAACCCAGGGGUCGCUGGUUCAAAUCCAGCCUCCGCUA
rnacentral:tRNA from 1 species